AGUGGCGGACGGGUGAGUAACACGUAAGAAUUUGCCUUUAGGAGGGGGACAACAACUGGAAACGGUUGCUAAUACCCCAUAUGCUUUCGAGUGAAGUGGGUUUUCCGCCUAAAGAGAAGCUUGCGGCUGAUUAGCUUGUUGGUAAGGUAAUGGCUUACCAAGGCGACGAUCAGUAUCUGGUUUGAGAGGACGAUCAGACACACUGGAACUGAGACACGGUCCAGACUCCUACGGGAGGCAGCAGUGGGGAAUUUUCCGCAAUGGGCGAAAGCCUGACGGAGCAAUACCGCGUGAGGGAUGAAUGCCUAUGGGUUGUAAACCUCUUUUUUCAGGGAGGAACAAAAUGACGUGUACCUGAAGAAUAAGCAUCGGCUAACUCCGUGCCAGCAGCCGCGGUAAGACGGAGGAUGCAAGUGUUAUCCGGAAUCACUGGGCGUAAAGCGUCUGUAGGUGGUUUAAUAAGUCAACUGUUAAAUCUUGAGGCUCAACCUCGAAAUCGCAGUCGAAACUAUUAGACUAGAGUAUAGUAGGGGUAAAGGGAAUUUCCAGUGGAGCGGUGAAAUGCGUAGAGAUUGGAAAGAACACCGAUGGCGAAGGCACUUUACUGGGCUAUUACUAACACUGAGAGACGAAAGCUAGGGUAGCAAAUGGGAUUAGAUACCCCAGUAGUCCUAGCUGUAAACAAUGGAUACUAGA
rnacentral:rRNA from 1 species